rnacentral:rRNA from 1 species
AUUGAACGCUGGCGGCAGGCCUAACACAUGCAAGUCGAGCGGAUGAAGGGAGCUUGCUCCUGGAUUCAGCGGCGGACGGGUGAGUAAUGCCUAGGAAUCUGCCUGGUAGUGGGGGAUAACGUCCGGAAACGGGCGCUAAUACCGCAUACGUCCUGAGGGAGAAAGUGGGGGAUCUUCGGACCUCACGCUAUCAGAUGAGCCUAGGUCGGAUUAGCUAAUUGGUGGGGUAAAGGCCUACCAAGGCGACGAUCCGUAACUGGUCUGAGAGGAUGUUCAGUCACACUGGAACUGAGACACGGUCCAGACUCCUACGGGGGGCAGCAGUGGGGAAUAUUGGACAAUGGGCGAAGGCCUGAUCCAGCCAUGCCGCGUGUGUGAAGAAGGUCUUCGGAUUGUAAAGCACUUUAAGUUGGGAGGAAGGGCAGUAAGUUAAUACCUUGCUGUUUUGACGUUACCAACAGAAUAAGCACCGGCUAACUUCGUG